rnacentral:rRNA from 1 species
UGCCUAACACAUGCAAGUCGGGCGCGAAAGGUCUUCGGACUGAGUAAAGCGGCGGACGGGUGAGUAAUGCAUGGGAAUCUGCCUGGUAGUGGGGGACAACGUCUCGAAAGGGACGCUAAUACCGCAUACGCCCUACGGGGGAAAGGGGGGGAUCUUCGGACCUCUCGCUAUCAGAUGAGCCCAUGUCAGAUUAGCUAGUUGGUAGGGUAAAGGCCUACCAAGGCGACGAUCUGUAACUGGUCUGAGAGGAUGAUCAGUCACACUGGAACUGAGACACGGUCCAGACUCCUACGGGAGGCAGCAGUGGGGAAUAUUGGACAAUGGGGGCAACCCUGAUCCAUCCAAGGGGCGUGUGUGAAGAAGGCCUUCGGGUUGAAACCACAUUGAGUGGGGAGAAAGGCAAUUUACCUAAU